GAUGAACGCUGGCGGCGUGCCUAAUACAUGCAAGUCGAGCGAACGGACGAGAAGCUUGCUUCUCUGAUGUUAGCGGCGGACGGGUGAGUAACACGUGGAUAACCUACCUAUAAGACUGGGAUAACUUCGGGAAACCGGAGCUCAUACCGGAUAAUAUUUUGAACCGCAUGGUUCAAAAGUGAAAGCCGGUCUUGCUGUCACUUAUAGAUGGAUCCGCGCUGCAUUAGCUAGUUGGUAAGGUAACGGCUUACCAAGGCAACGAUGCAUAGCCGACCUGAGAGGGUGAUCGGUCACACUGGAACUGAGACACGGUCCAGACUCCUACGGGAGGCAGCAGUGGGGAAUCUUCCGCAAUGGGCGAAAGCCUGACGGAGCAACGCCGCGUGAGUGAUGAAGGUCUUCGGAUCGUAAAACUCUGUUAGUAGGGAAGAACAUAUGUGUAAGUAACUGUGCACAUCUUGACGGUACCUAAUCAGAAAGCCACGGCUAACUACGUG
rnacentral:rRNA from 1 species